rnacentral:lncRNA from 10 species
UGGCCAAUUGAAAUUAUCAAAAGCAAAGGAGGAAUGCGCCAGUUCUUAUUAAGAAAAUUAAAAACAAAGCAUCUUUCUCAUUCUGCCUUUACAUCUAUUUAUAUUAUGUUAUACACUAUCUCCACUGCAAACAUAAAUUUUCAAAUAAUAAUAAUAUAAAGGUUGGAUGACUGUCUAUUUUACUAUCAAUUGAUCCUGAAAAACAACUUUAAUCGGGGUUAUACUGUGUUAAGGGUCCUCAGAGCUGCAUGAGUCUUACCUGUAAAGAGGACCCAGAGGCUCACAACAUGAAAUGACUCUGGGAUGUGUAAAAAGCAUUGAUCUACAAGAGACAUUGAAAUCAUUUAGUAUAAAACCUUCACUUUAUGGAUAAAGAACAGUAGGAUGGAGGUUGCAGUGAGCCAAGAUCACUACCCAAGACGGUGACUGUAUUUAGGAUAUCUCUUGCUCCUCGGCAUUCAAAAGCAUGGAAGACACCCUCACCUUUCUUCUCAGGCAACCCAAAUGCUUCCAAGUGCUCAAACUAAACAUUCAAAUUUAAAGGGGUAAGUUAAAAAAAGAGAUGCAUUUAUUCAU